rnacentral:rRNA from 1 species
GACGAACGCUGGCGGCGUGCUUAACACAUGCAAGUCGAACGGAAAGGCCCUGCUUUUGUUGGGUUCUCGAGUGGCGAACGGGGGAGUAACACGUGUGUAACCUGCCCUUGACUUUGGGAUAACUUCAGGAAACUGGGGCUAAUACCGGAUAUGAUCUCCUGCUGCAUGGUGUGGAUUGGAAAGUUUCGGCGGUUGGGGAUGGACUCGCGGCUUAUCAGCUUGUUGGUGGGGUAGUGGCUUACCAAGGCUUUGACGGGUAGCCGGCCUGAGAGGGUGACCGGCCACAUUGGGACUGAGAUACGGACCAGAAUCCUACGGGAGGCAGCAGUGGGGAAUAUUGCACAAUGGGCGGAAGCCUGAUGCAGCAACGCCGCGUGCGGGAUGACGGCCUUCGGGUUGUAAACCGCUUUCGCCUGUGACGAAGCGUGAGUGACGGUAAUGGGUAAAGAAGCAACGGCUAACUACGUG